CAGUGUCUCUUAGUGGCCUCUGACAAGAAACACUGCCUCCAGGAAUGAAGGCAUUGGAGAAUGACAAGAGUGGUGGGAGAAAAUCAACUGUUUUGACCUAAGAUUCCAGGCAAAGAAGGUUGCUGAGGUAAUACAAUGAGAUAAUGACCUGCAUUGGAGUAUGGAAGGACAAGAUUGACUACCACCUACAUCAGUAAUUAUAUAUGCAUUGGUUUCCACAGUUGGAUCCAGAAUAAAUCAUUUACAACAUUGCCUUGGAAUAACAUUGUCUUCAGAAACAAGCAAGUACCUUAGGGGCUCACCAAAGAUGAGAAAAGGAAUUCCUAGCCAACCAUCAAUAUUUGGGUGAGCUGGAGCAGCACUGUAUUCCAUAAAAGCCCACGACAGCAUACUGUUUUGACCAUUGGAAGGCAGAUGCCCUCAAUAUACAUUGUGAUCAUUGCUUUUGUCAUUUCCUCAAAGUGCUUUCCUCUGCCUAAUAACUUUACCUCCAUCUGCAUGGGGUUAGCUUGAGCCAGCUUUCUAUCAUCCAGGACCCAGUCUCCUGCAGACACUGAGGCAGUUGGACAAUAGCAUUGUCUCCGUUAGAUCUGAAAAAGAUGUAGAGCUGGAUGUCAUCAGCAUAUUGAUGAUACUGUAAUCCAUGAUGAUGCAUGACCUCCCCUAACAGUCUUACUCUCUUGCAGUGUCAUAACAGACAGGGAUGUUUGAACCCCUGGGACUUCACAGGAGAGAGCCUAUGGGGAUGUAUAGUUGCCUAUUGUCAUCCUCUGAGACUUAUCCAAAGAAUGAGCAGAAAGAUAUUGCUACAUUCCAAUGUAAAGGCAUGCCUACUUAAGUCGUGUAAACCCAGUGUAAAUUAUCUCCUUGGAACUUCUAAUUCUGUAAUCUUGGGUAGUGAUGUUCCUUAUUCUUUUUUAUUCGUUUUUCUUUCAUCCUCUUCGGUGUCUUUUUCUUGGUCAUUGUCAUUUUGUCAGCAGUAUAAUUAAGUCUCUGAACAAAAUAUACAAGUGCAAUGACUAUUCAUGCCAGCAGCUGUUAUAAUACUGAUAUCUAAACAAAGAAUUAGUACACCACUGACACAAAAUAUGUGGACUAUGAAUUGACUAUUUAACAUUUCUGUCUCUGUCUUACAGCUGACUUAGAAUCUGGUAUACAUAUGUAAAAAUACAGUGUAUUGCUUACUAUUACAGUAAGAGCGUCACUGUUAAUGAAUGGAAUGGCAUAUAGAACGUGUGUUUUGUACAAUUCUAUUUGUUAUUUUAAAACAUUAAAGUUAUUAAAUA